rnacentral:rRNA from 1 species
GAUGAACGCUGGCGGCGUGCCUAAUACAUGCAAGUCGAGCGAAUGGAUUAAGAGCUUGCUCUUAUGAAGUUAGCGGCGGGCGGGUGAGUAACACGUGGGUAACCUGCCCAUGAGACUGGGAUAACUCCGGGAAACCGGGGCUAAUACCGGAUAACAUUUUGAACCGCAUGGUUCGAAAUUGAAAGGCGGCUUCGGCUGUCACUUAUGGAUGGACCAGCGUCGCAUUAGCUAGUUGGGGAGGUAACGGCUCACCAAGGCAACGAGGCGUAGCCGACCUGAGAGGGUGAUCGGCCACACUGGGACUGAGACACGGCACAGACUCCUACGGGAGGCAGCAGUAGGGAAUCUUCCGCAAUGGACGAAAGUCUGACGGAGCAACGCCGCGUGAGUGAUGAAGGCUUUCGGGUCGUAAAACUCUGUUGUUAGGGAAGAACAAGUGCUAGUUGAAUAAGCUGGCACCUUGACGGUACCUAACCAGAAAGCCACGGCUAACUACGUGCCAGCCGCCGCCGUAA